rnacentral:tRNA from 1 species
GGGUCGGUACCAAAGCAGUCAAAUGGGGCAGACUGUAAAUCUGCUGGCUUUCGCCUUCGCAGGUGCGAAUCCUGCCCGGCCCA